rnacentral:hammerhead_ribozyme from 1 species
AUCCAGUUGACGAGUCCCAAAUAGGAAUAAACGCACGUCUUGGAU